CGGGGUGUGGCUCAGACCGGUAGAGCGCACGGUUCGGGUCCGUGAGGUCCCGGGUUCAAAUCCCGGCACCCCGACUA
rnacentral:tRNA from 1 species